UACGUAGGGUGCAAGCGUUAAUCGGAAUUACUGGGCGUAAAGCGUGCGCAGGCGGUUGUGCAAGACAGAUGUGAAAUCCCCGGGCUCAACCUGGGAAUGGCAUUUGUGACUGCACGGCUAGAGUGUGUCAGAGGGGGGGUAGAAUUCCACGUGUAGCAGUGAAAUGCGUAGAUAUGUGGAGGAAUACCGAUGGCGAAGGCAGCCCCCUGGGAUAACACUGACGCUCAUGCACGAAAGCGUGGGGAGCAAACAGG
rnacentral:rRNA from 1 species